UCAUCUCGUUCAUCCUCUGGCUGCUCAAACUCCAGACUAGAUCUGCUGUGUCUGGAGAAAGUGUCUCACUAACAACACUAUUCAUUCUCUCACGGCUGUGAAAUACUUACAAACGCCUCCAUCCAUCUCCUGUAAUGUUGGGAAUGAAAAGAUAUAGAAGUACAGAUGAAGCAUGAUGGAUUUAGAUGCUGCAUAACCAGAGCCAUUGUUUAAAUUUCCUCUCUCUGUCACAGUCCUGCUCAUGUACGAACACUGACCCAAACCAACAGCACUAACACAAGAGUCAAACUCUGCUUCUGUGUCAAUGUCCAUUCAACCAGCAUCGCAGAUGUAACUCUUAUGUUCAUAUUGGACCAGACGUGGAGUGACAGCCACAAAACCCAAUGUCUGUCUAAAUAAAACAGCACAAGUCUGACCAUUCAGAUGAGACUGAGAGAAAACAAGAUGAAGAGAAUGAAUUUGAGUCCUCAACUCAUGAACAUUAAAAACAUCUUAAUAAACAUCCUAAAAUCUUAAGGUACUUCAUUCCCAGCGAACACGAGAAAACCCCCUGGAACCCUGUGUAAUUGCAGAAAGGUCUGGGAGGAUUCUUGGAGUGAUGCAGGAAAAGGCAUAUUGGAUGUUACCUACUCGAAUGUCAGAGGAGGAGUACAAGGAAUUUUGAGAAAGUGACUUUACUGCAGCAAAGAGAUAUAAAGUAAAAUAGCUGCUAAAAGUGACUGUGCUGGUCAUGUACAGUCAUUUGAGAAAGCAUGUGUCAGUUCUACUGUUAAAGGAAGCAGAACACCAGAGAUGAAUUAUCAUCAUUAUUCAACACUCUCAGCACAACUGGCUCAAAGUCUGCUAUUUUAUCCCUGAUUGAGCCUCAUUCAGAUGAUUUUAUUCCCAAACCAAUUAGUGAAAAGUUUCCUCUGGUGUUGACUGAACUGUGAAAUGAGGAGGCACUUCACAUGGACUGCAGUGAUGUAUCGUCCAUUUGUAAUGAUAUAAACAUUUCAGUAUCAGAGGAGCAAGCAAAGGCAGUUGAGAUGGCUACAAGAGAUCAAGCUUCUUCUAAACUGUGGUUUCAGUUUGGUGCUGGUCGAAUCACAGCAUCUAAAAUGAAAACUGCAUGUUGCACUGAUCCCAAUCAACCAGCUCAGAGCUUGAUCAAAAGUGUAUGCUAUCCCCAACCAUAGAAAUUUAUUUCAAAAGCUACUACCUCGGGAUGUUCUCAUGAGAAAUUUGCAUGUGAUAUGUUUACAGAUGAACAUAAGUGUGAAAAAAAGUGAAAGUGCACGAGACAGGUGUUUUCAUUACUCCAUGUGUGAAAUUGGGUGCUUCUUUGUAAAUUCUGCUAAGUUAGUGUUACAGGAUUUUACUUGGAGAAGGAUGGUGAAGGGAAACUGACACUAAACAGAAACCACCAGUAUUUCUUGGAGUGUGCAAACUGGAGUCUGCCUAUUUUGUUGUUUGAACAGAGAAACACUUAAACCUCUGGUAAUUCUCAAUAACAACUUUUGUAGACGUAUGUCAGAAAUAAAGUCAAUCUGGUUAGUAAUAAGUAAAGCUGGUAAUGCUGUUUGUGGAGUUGUUUGAUCAGAUCUUGAGAUAUUUAAUGUCUUUUAUCUUCAGUUGAUUUCAUCGAAGGCUGUGACUGAAGUCGUAGUUCUUGUUCCUCUGUCCUUUGGUGAUUCUGCUCGUUAUCACCUAAUUAUCUCAUUAACUGCAGGAUGUUUCUGCAGGAUACUUGUCUUACACAAACACAUCGAUUCGCUUCAAAAGGCCUUUAUUAAUCCCCUGGAGUCGCAUGGAUUCAUUUUUUUUGUCUUGAAUUUGGGGUACCAUUCACAACCAUUAUAAACCUUGGAAGAGCCAGGAUAUUUUUAAAUAUUUCUUCAAUUGUGUUCGUCUGAAAGAAGUGAAUCCACAUGAUUCAUGGGCCCCCCAGCGGUGAACCAUUGAAAUUUUGGAACGUUUGGAAACAAUUCUGACGUAACAAAGCCUCGUUUAGUGAAAUCACAUGACUUUGGCAGUUUGAUACAAAUACCAUUACUAGUUUAGACAGGAUCCUGACCAUCAAAACAGCUGAUUCUCAGCGCUGUCCACUAGGUAGGCAGCACUCUAGGUUAUGAGACAGCCUGUGUAUAAAUAUGUGGAUGAAAAUCAUAUUGAAGAUAAAUAAAGGCAGAAUUAAACCUACA